ACGCUGGCGGUAGGCCUAACACAUGCAAGUCGAACGGCAGCACAGGAGAGCUUGCUCUCUGGGUGGCGAGUGGCGGACGGGUGAGGAAUACAUCGGAAUCUACUUUUUCGUGGGGGAUAACGUAGGGAAACUUACGCUAAUACCGCAUACGACCUACGGGUGAAAGCAGGGGAUCUUCGGACCUUGCGCGAUUGAAUGAGCCGAUGUCGGAUUAUCUAGUUGGCGGGGUAAAGGCCCACCAAGGCGACAAUCCGUAGCUGGUCUGAGAGGAUGAUCAGCCACACUGGAACUGAGACACGGUCCACACUCCUACGGGAGGCAGCAGUGGGGAAUAUUGGACAAUGGGCGCAAGCCUGAUCCAGCCAUACCGCGUGGGUGAAGAAGGCCUUCGGGUUGUAAAGCCCUUUUGUUGGGAAAGAAAUCCAGCUGGUUAAUACCCGGUUGGGAUGACGGUACCCAAAGAAUAAGCACCGGCUAACUUCGUGCCAGCAGCCGCGGUAAUACGAAGGGUGCACGCGUUACUCGGAAUUACUGGGCGUAAAGCGUGCGUAGGUGGUCGUUUAAGUCCGUUGUGAAAGCCCUGGGCUCAACCUGGGAACUGCAGUGGAUACUGGGCGACUAGAAUGUGGUAGAGG
rnacentral:rRNA from 2 species